rnacentral:rRNA from 1 species
GAUGAACGCUGGCGGCGUGCCUAAUACAUGCAAGUCGAGCGGACAGACGAUGAGCUUGCUCCGCUGACGUUAGCGGCGGACGUGUGAGUAACGCGUGUAUAACCUACCUAUAAUACUGGGAUAACUUCGGGAAACCGGAUCUAAUACCGGAUAAUAUAUUGAACCGCAUGGGUCAAUGGUGAGAGACGGUUUUUCUGUCACUUAUCGAUGGAUCCCGGCCGUAUGAGCUAGUUGGUAAGGUCACGGCUUACCAAGGCUACCAUGCGUAGCCGACCUGAGAGGGGGAUAGCCGACCUGGGAACGGAGACACGGUCAAGGCGCCUACGGGAGGCAGCAGUAGGGAACCGUACGCAAUGGUGGAAAGCCUGACGGAGCAAGGCCGCGCGAGUGACGAAGGUCCUGCGAGCGUAAAACCCUGUUACUAGGGAAGAACAAAUGUGGAAGUAACCAUGGCCGUCUUGACGGUACCUAAUAAGAAAGCCACGGCUAACUACGUG